CUACGGGAGGCAGCAGUGGGGAAUAUUGCACAAUGGAGGAAACUCUGAUGCAGCAACGCCGCGUGGAGGAUGACACUUUUCGGAGCGUAAACUCCUUUUAUAUAGGAAGAUAAUGACGGUACUAUAUGAAUAAGCACCGGCUAACUCCGUGCCAGCAGCCGCGGUAAUACGGAGGGUGCAAGCGUUACUCGGAAUCACUGGGCGUAAAGAGCGUGUAGGCGGGUUAAUAAGUCAGAAGUGAAAUCCUAUGGCUCAACCAUAGAACUGCUUUUGAAACUGUUAACCUAGAGUGUGGGAGAGGUAGAUGGAAUUUCUGGUGUAGGGGUAAAAUCCGUAGAGAUCAGAAGGAAUACCGAUUGCGAAGGCGAUCUACUGGAACAUAACUGACGCUGAGACGCGAAAGCGUGGGGGGCAAACAGGAUUAGAUACCCCCGUAGUC
rnacentral:rRNA from 1 species